GGUGCCAUAGCUCAGUGGCAGAGUAUCUGCUUUGAAUGCAGAAGGCCCUGGGAAAGUCUCUUGUCUAGAACCCUGGAGACAGUA